rnacentral:rRNA from 1 species
GACGUAGGUGGCGAACGUUAUCCGGAAUUAUUGGGCGUAAAGGGUGCGUAGGCGGCAUGAUAAGUUAUUGGCGGCAAAUCGAGGCUCAACCUCGUGGAAACUGAUAAUACUGUCUUGCUUGAGUGCAGAAGAGGUUAACGGAACUCCAUGUGGAGCGGUAAAAUAUGUAGAUAUAUGGAAGAACAUCAAUAACGGCGAAGGCAGUUAACUAUUCUGUUACUGACGUUGAGGCACGAAAGCGUGGGGAGCAAAAAGG